rnacentral:rRNA from 1 species
CUACGGGUCGCACCAGCAAGGAAUAUUGGGCAAUGGGCGAAAGCCUGACCCAGCGACACCGCGUGGAGGAAGAAGGCCUUCGGGUUGUAAACUCCUUUUCCCGGGGAAGAAUUUUGACGGUACCCGGGGAAUAAGUCUCGGCUAACUACGUGCCAGCAGCCGCGGUAAUACGUAGGAGGCGAGCGUUAUCCGGAUUUACUGGGCGUAAAGCGGGCGUAGGCGGCUUGCCAAGUCUGAUGUGAAAUCUCCCGGCUAAACUGGGAGGGUGCAUUAGAUACUGGUAGGCUAGAGUGCAGCAGAGGAAAGCGGAAUUCCCGGUGUAGUGGUGAAAUGCGUAGAUAUCGGGAAGAACACUAGUGGCGAAGGCGGCUUUCUGGGCUGUUACUGACGCUGAGGCCCGAAGGCGUGGGUAGCAAACAGGAUUAGAUACCCGAGUAGUC